AGAGAUUAGGCGAGUAAAGAUUUCGGUCGCUUUGUGAGGAGCUCGCUUACUAUCAGCUUGUUGGUAGGGUAGUGGCCUACCAAGGCUAUGACGGUUAGGGGGUGUGAGAGCAUGACCCCCAGCAUUGGCACUGAAACAUUGGCCAAACACCUACGGGUGGCUGCAGUCGAGAAUCUUCCACAAUGGGGGAAACCCUGAUGGAGCGAUGCUGCGUGCGGGAUGAAGGCCUUCGGGUUGUAAACCGCUUUUGUAGGGGACGAAAUUUUUGACGGUACCCUUUCGAAUAAGAGGUUGCUAACUCUGUGCCAGCAGCAGCGGUAAUACAGAGACCUCAAGCGUUAUCCGGAUUUACUGGGCGUAAAGCGUCUGUAGGGGGUUUAUUAAGUUCCAAGUAAAAUUUCAAGGCUCAACUUUGAAUUCGCUUGGAAAACUAAUAAACUGGAGUCUAGCAGAGGUGCAUGGAACUUGUGGUGUAGGAGUGAAAUCCGUUGAUAUCACGAGGAACACCAAAGGCGAAGGCAUUGCACUGUGCUAGCACUGACCCUGAGAGACGAAAGCGUGGGGAGCAACACGGAUUAGAUACCC
rnacentral:rRNA from 1 species